GCUCCCGUAGCUCAGUGGAUAGAGCACCUGCCUCCUAAGCAGGGGGUCGCACGUUCAAGUCGUGCCGGGGGCA
rnacentral:tRNA from 1 species